ensembl:rRNA predicted gene, 26213
GUCUGUGAAGAUAGCACCAUGAUGUGACCAGUCUCCUCUGAUCUCAGAAGCUAAGCAGGAUAGGGCCUGGUUAAUACUUGGAUGCAAGAAGAGAUUUGCUUGUAUAAAGC